AUUCAAGGUGGUGAACUCCAUACAUUUCCUUGCUUAAUGAUACUAGUGAUUUCCAUUUCAGAUUUAUUUACGUGCAUUUCCUUCCACAAAACUAUGAAAUUGAUUUGGAAGCUCCUGAGUAGAUGCCCACAAGCCUUCACACUAUCAUGGAUUCUUUCUCAUUCCAUCUAUGUGGUUGGUGCAUGAACUUUUUGAAUCAUUGUAUAAAAAAAGGCUCUUUAAAAUUGUCCAUUAUUCACCGAUUAUCCUUAAAUUCUUUCUCCUUUUUUUUUUUAGAAUGUCUACUUUCCCACCUUUGUUUGGGGUAGGAGAUUGUGUUUAUUAUUUACGAGUCUGUAAGGGAUGACAUACUAUAGAAAGAAUCGAAUCUAGGAUAUAGAAUGUUUUACACGAGAUGAUGUUUAGAGACUUCUCUCUAAGCCAUGGGAGUGUAAGGUUCAGCUUCAGCAUGUCGCAAGAGGAGGGAACUAGUGCGGAUUUUUCGGGCCAAAUCCACCAUGAAAAGAGUGUUGGAAAUCCUGCAUGGGAAAUGUAUGAAAUGAAAGGGCG
rnacentral:misc_RNA from 1 species